rnacentral:rRNA from 1 species
UACGGAGGGUGCUAGCGUUGUUCGGAAUCACUGGGCGUAAAGGGCGUGUAGGCGGUCUGUUAAGUCUGGUGUGAAAUCCCCCCGCUCAACGGGGGAACGGCGCCGGAUACUGGCAGACUCGAGUAUGGGAGAGGGUAGUGGAAUUUCCGGUGUAGCGGUGAAAUGCGUAGAGAUCGGAAGGAACACCAGUGGCGAAGGCGGCUACCUGGCCUAAUACUGACACUGAGGCACGAAAGCGUGGGGAGCAAACAGG